GACACAUCAAAAGAUUAUUUGAACAGCAACAGCCAACAGAGUGGCACAACCAUAAGUCAGACAUUAGUUCAUACAAUAAGUAGUAUCAUUCAUAAAGACAUACAAUAAGUAGUAUCAUUCAUAAAGACGAGCCCAUGACUUAAAAUUCAAAGGACAAAGCCAAACAUGGCCUGACAUAAUAAUAAGGUCUUACAUCAACUGAUCAACAUAAGGUCUAACAUAAUAAUAAGAUCUGAAAUAAAAUGCUAGCUGCUAGCUGAGGAAAUGCAAAGUAGCUCCUGCUCCUCGUUCAUCAAUUUCAUAUUUCUACACAAACAUAGAGAAUUGCACUUGUUAUGAUGCAAGCAAAUAAACAACUUUCUGUUGUAUCUUCAGGAAAUGGAAUGAACUCAACAUCAUCAUCAUUGCCAUCUUCCUACAAAGGUAAAUGGAAAUGUGGAGUUUUAGUUAAUAUUUAGCAAAAGUGUAAGGUUAGUAGAAGACAAUACAAAGUAGAGAGCAAGUAAUAUUACCACUAUAAUUCUAGGAUUAAGCUGGUUUUCUUUUGAUCCUUUAAUGUAGCUAGAAGCACAAACAAGUGCCUCAACCAUGUUUGGGCGGAGAGAGCUAUGAUAGUCAUCGAGAAUUCUGCCACUCGUAGAGAAUCUCGACUCCGGUGAGACACUAGUUGCUAGUAUUGUCAAGAACUUCUUUGCCAUCUUUGCCAUGAUAGGAUAUCUAUGAGCAUUCAACCUCCACCAAUCAACUACUCUGAAAUUUGGAUCCUGAAUUGGAUUGGUUUUGUCUUCAAGGUAACUGGUCAACUCAGAUUUAGAUGGCUCUGAAUUUGUCUCCUCUAGGAAGGACUGAAUCCCACUUGACAAUGAGGACAUACAUGUAGAUGUUUGCCUACUUGAUAUUGAACUCUGUUCAUUAUUGUUUCCAGCCUCAUUCUUGCGAUUUUCCAUCUCAUAAGUAGGAUAGAGAUCAAAGAAUUCAGUUUUGAUUUCCUCAGCCUCAAUACUACCCUUCUCUCUUCCAUACAUCUUCUUAAAACAGUAAUCAACAAGUUUCAUCUUAAACCUAGGAUCAAGAAUGGUGGCAAUGACCAUGACAUUGUUCUUUUCCUUUUUUUAUUUUUCCCAGUAUUUUCAUUUCCCUCACCUUCACUAUUGCUAUACCAAUAUUUAUCAAACUUCUCAAGCAUAGCUUCUCCCAUCUUUUUCAAAUUCGUAUUUGAACCCAUGGCAUGCUCUACGAUAGCAAUCUUAACAUUCAUGAUAUAUGGAUAGAAAAUGUUGGCAGUAGGAUAGUUCGAUCCUGAUAAUACAGUGGUUACCUCAGCAAAAGAUUUCAAGAUGGGUUGGAUCUUUUCAUAUAAUGUCCACUCUUCAUCUUCGGGCUGCCAUUUGUAGGUAGGAUCUACCUCUGCAUACUCCUUGAAAGCAGCCCUAUACACAGUGCAAGCUUCUACCAUUCUGCAUGUAGAAUUCCAUCUAGUAGCUACAUCCAGGCAUAAACCUCUCCCAAUUUCCAUAUUCAGAGACUUGCAAACCAUCAAUAAUUUGUACAUUCUUGAUGGAGAUUUUUUCAAAUACUUGACGGUAUCCCUAAGCUUAUUGAUAAAAUUUUGCAAUAGAGCAAUGCCAUCAUUCACUAUCAAAUUAACAAUGUGGGCACAACAGCGAACAUGGAAGUACUUAGGAAUAAAUUUAGCAAAUUUCCUAGCAAUGAUCUUGUCCAUCAAUCUCUUAGCAGCAUUAUCAUUUGAGGAAGCAUUAUCCAUAGUGAUUGUCAUAAUCUUAUCUUCUAUUUUCCAUUCUUGACAACACUCGAAAACUGCUUGAGCUAUGACACUACCAGAGUGAGGUGGAUCUAGCUCUAAGAAGUUUAAAACACGACAUUGCAUGACCCAAUCAUCAUCUAUGUAGUGAGCAAUAACGGCUAGGUAUGAUAGGGUUUGGUUUGAAGUCCAUAGAUCACACGUCAAACUAAUGCUUUCAACAUUCUUUGGUUGCUUUUUAAGGAUUUCUUUUUCGGAAAGAUAGACCUUCAUGCAUUCAGCUCUAAUUUUCUUCCUACCAAUGAACUUGUAGGAAGCAUUCAUAUACCUCAUCAGGAUAUUGAACCAUGCAUGCUCUACCAUCCUAAAGGGAUAUUCAUGCACAAUUAUCAUCUUUGCUAUGAACUUAACGACUUCGGCAUGAUCAUAUUCAUGGUUAACUAUAAGAGAUGCACCUGGCUUUUCAGGAUCAAAAUUGAUUGUACCUUGAUGUUGUUGUCUUCCCUUCUUGUUUAGAUAGACUGAACAAACAUCUUUACGCCUAUUGAGACUCGUAGUUUGACCCCUAGGAGUAUAAGCAAACAAUUUUGCACAAUAGCACUUAGCCUUUGUAACAACCGCCCCUGGCCUCUUCUUACUUACAGCCUUGACCUCCUUGAAAUACUGCCAACAUUCUGCACGCUUAAGUCUCGUUCUCUUCACCUUCACCUUAGUACCAUCCACUCCCGCCUUUUUCCUUUUCCCUCCUUUCUUUACCCUCUCUUUGCCAUUGACCUCUACUUCUGUGUCAUUUUCAUUGUCGCCUGAUCCAAGAGAAGGCUCUGACAGAUCGUCAUCCAGAUCGUACGCCUCUGCUUCUUUAACCUCCUCGUGCCCUUCAUCAAUCUCUACCCAUUCAUCUGCAUCACCAUCAUCUUCCUGUGCAAAAUGAAAUAUAUGAUUCAGAUCUUACAAGCCAAAGCAUGUACAAAAUACAAGCCAAAGCUGAAUCAGUGUAACAAUUGAGAAACAUUCAGCUAAGUAAUUUCAGAAUCAAUUAACUACACUCUACAGUCUACACUGAAAUUAAUCAAUUAACUAGGUAAUUUCAGAAUCAAUUAACGUUGGCUAACUCUGUCUUUUGCAUGAGCAUUUCAGAGGAAAUCUGCCUAGACCCUCGACACCACCACCUCUACACUCUACAUUCAGCUAAGUAAUUUUAGAAUCAAUUAACUACAAUCAAUUAAUCAGUACUAGCCUCCUGUGCUCUUCGACGCCUUUGUCCGUGUGCUUGCUUCCGAGGAGGAGGUGGCUUUGCUGCCGUGGAAGGAGACUCCCGUGAUGCUGAAUCGGAGGACGACCUCUUCUUCCUCACCAUGUUUCUGGCCUUGGACUCCAUGCUUGGAGUUUCUGCUGCACGCGAUGGUCGCUCGCGCGGUUCCAUGGGGAGGCAACGUAGAUGGCGGAGCCACGGAGGACCGGAGGCGGGCCAAAGUCGCCGUCGAGUGGCACCGGCCGCCAGAAUGGGGUCAGAUCGAUCUAGCCGCCGCCCUACUCGCGUAUUAGCAGGAUCUAACCUAGCAGCCGCCCUACUCGCGUAUUAGCAGGAUCUAACCUAGCAGCCGCUCUGCAUCCUCUCCGCGUGGUCAAAGGUGUCUUCUCGCCUCCUCCUCUGGUCUGG
rnacentral:lncRNA from 1 species